rnacentral:rRNA from 1 species
CCUACGGGAGGCAGCAGUGAGGAAUAUUGGUCAAUGGACGAGAGUCUGAACCAGCCAAGUAGCGUGAAGGAUGACUGCCCUAUGGGUUGUAAACUUCUUUUAUAAAGGAAUAAAACGAGGCACGUGUGCCUUUUUGCAUGUACUUUAUGAAUAAGGAUCGGCUAACUCCGUGCCAGCAGCCGCGGUAAUACGGAGGGUCCGAGCGUUAUCCGGAUUUAUUGGGUUUAAAGGGAGCGUAGAUGGGUUGUUAAGUCAGUUGUGAAAGUUUGCGGCUCAACCGUAACAUUGAAAUUGAUACUGGCAGUCUUGAGUACAGGUGAGGGAGGCGGAAUUCGGGGUGUAGCGGUGAAAUGCUUAGAUAUCACGAAGAACCCCGAUUGCGAAGGCAGGUUACUAAACUUUGACUGACAAUGAUGCUCGAAAGUGAGGGGAUCAAAAAGGAUUAGAUACCCGAGUAGUC